ACGAACGCUGGCGGCGUGCUUAACACAUGCAAGUCGAACGGGUCUGCCCUGUUUUUUGCGGGGUGGGUCAGUGGCGAACGGGUGAGUAACACGUGAGUAACCUGCCCCUCACUUCUGGAUAACCGCUUGAAAGGGUGGCUAAUACGGGGUGUUCUGGCUGUGCCGCAUGGUGUGGCUGGGAAAGAUUCACUUUUGUGGUGUUUUGGUGGGGGAUGGGCUCGCGGCCUAUCAGCUUGUUGGGGGGGUGAUGGCCUGCCAAGGCUUUGACGGGUAGCCGGCCUGAGAGGGUGGGCGGUCACACUGGGACUGAGAUACGGCCCAGACUCCUGCGGGAGGCAGCAGUGGGGGGUAUUGCACAAUGGGCGGAAGCCUGAUGCAGCGACGUCGCGUGAGGGAUGGAGGCCUUCGGGUUGUGAACCUCUUUCGCCGGUGAAGAAGGUCCUGCUCUUUGUGGUGGGGUUGACGGUAGCCGGGUUAUGAAGCGCCGGCUAACUACGUG
rnacentral:rRNA from 1 species